rnacentral:rRNA from 1 species
UUACCAGCUUGACAUAAUUAACUCCCUUCGGGAACAGGUGGUGCAUGGUUGUCGUCAGCUCGUGUCGUGAGAUGUUGGGUUAAGUCCCGCAACGAGCGCAACCCUAUUUUAGUUGCUACCAUAUGAGACUCUAGGAGACUGCCUGGGAUAACAGGAGGAAGGCGGGGAUGACGUCAAAUCAUCAUGCCCCUUAUGCUGGGCUACACACGUGCUACAAUGGAGUACAUUAGGCACCGUGAGGGGAGCAAACUGAAAACUGUCUCAGUUCGGAUUGUAGGCUGAAACUCGCCUACAUGAAGCUGGAGUUACUAGUAAUCGCGAUCAGAAUGCGCGGUGAAUACGUUCCCGGGCCUUGUACACACCGCCCGUCACACCACGAGAGUUGGAAACCAAC